rnacentral:misc_RNA from 1 species
GACGAACCGUGCGAACGUUGUUCGGAAUCACUGGGCUUAAAGGGCGCGUAGGCGGGCGGGUAAGUCGGAGGUGAAAUCCUACAGCUCAACUGUAGAACUGCCUUCGAAACUGCCGGCCUCGAGGGAGGUAGGGGCAUGUGGAACUUCCGGUGGAGCGGUGAAAUGCGUAGAGAUCGGAAGGAACGCCGGUGGCGAAAGCGACGUGCUGGACCUCUUCUGACGCUGAGGCGCGAAAGCUAGGGUAGCGAACGGG